rnacentral:rRNA from 1 species
CAAAGCUUAAUUGUCUUAUUAUUAAAUUUCUUCAUCAAAUAUUAACCCUUUAAUAGUACUGAGCACUUCUAUAUUUUUAUAGAAUUUUUUAUGUUAAAACUAGUAACAAGAACAAGACCUUCUCUAACAAUGCAUAUGUAAAUCAGAAAGGACACACCACUGCUAAUUAACAUGCCUGAAUAUAAAGUAGUAACCCAACAAGAAAAUUCAACUAAAUCUCAUGUUAACCUAACACAAGAGCAUUACAAGAAAGAUUAAAAGAAAAAGAAGGAACUCGGCAAAUAUUAACCCCGCCUGUUUACCAAAAACAUCGCCUCUUGACUAACAUAAGAGGUCCAGCCUGCCCAGUGAUAUAAUUCAACGGCCGCGGUAUC